rnacentral:rRNA from 1 species
CGGGGGGGGCAAGCGUUGUUCGGAAUUACUGGGCGUAAAGGGCUCGUAGGCGGCCAACUAAGUCAGACGUGAAAUCCCUAGGCUCAACCUAGGAACUGCGUCUGAUACUGGAUGGCUUGAAUCCGGGAGAGGGAUGCAGAAUUCCAGGUGUAGCGGUGAAAUGCGUAGAUAUCUGGAGGAAUACCGGUGGCGAAGGCGGCAUCCUGGACCGGCAUUGACGCUGAGGAGCGAAAGCCAGGGGAGCAAACGGGAUUAGAUACCCCGGUAGUCCUGGCCCUAAACGAUGAAUGUUUGGUGUGACGGGUAUCGAUCCCUGUCGUGCCGAAGCUAACGCAUUAAACAUUCCGCCUGGGGAGUACGGUCGCAAGGCUG